AUAGUACUCCCUCCGUCCGAAAAAACUUGUCAUCAAAAUGAAUAAAAAGAGAUGUAUCUAGAACUAAAAUACAUCUAGAUACAUCCUCUUUUAUCCAUUUUGAUGACAAGUAUUUCCGGACAGAGGGAGUACUUC
rnacentral:pre_miRNA from 1 species